AGUAACCUACUAAUCCAAAGAUACACAU
rnacentral:piRNA from 1 species